AUUGAACGCUGGCGGCAUGCCUUACACAUGCAAGUCGAACGGUAACGGGCCUUCGGGUGCCGACGAGUGGCGAACGGGUGAGUAAUGCAUCGGAACGUACCUUUCAGUGGGGGAUAACGUAGCGAAAGUUACGCUAAUACCGCAUAUUCUGUGAGCAGGAAAGCAGGGGAUCGCAAGACCUUGCGCUGAUUGAGCGGCCGAUGUCAGAUUAGCUAGUUGGUGAGGUAAAGGCUCACCAAGGCGACGAUCUGUAGCGGGUCUGAGAGGAUGAUCCGCCACACUGGAACUGAGACACGGUCCAGACUCCUACGGGAGGCAGCAGUGGGGAAUUUUGGACAAUGGGCGAAAGCCUGAUCCAGCAAUGCCGCGUGAGUGAUGAAGGCCUUAGGGUUGUAAAGCUCUUUUACCAGGGAUGAUAAUGACAGUACCUGGAGAAUAAGCUCCGGCUAACUCCGUGCCAGCAGCCGCGGUAAAAGUC
rnacentral:rRNA from 1 species